GUAAGGCCAUUCAGCAGUGGUUAGUUAUAAUAACUUAGUUUUACUUCCUCAUUUAUUAAGGCUAAUUUUCAAAUUUCUGCUUAUUUAAUCAAUCUGGUAAUUGGUAGUGUUACAUUUGAUCUACUAUAUUACUUUGAUCAUUGUUUUAUGGGCUGGGUGUUGAAUGUUUUAUUUUGUUUUCAGUUCAGAUUUGGGAUUAUAUUCUUUUCAUCUUAUAGGGAUCUUAUAUUAUGGAUGGUUGAAGCUUCUUGAUCCAUAUAAUCUGGCUUCUAAUCCUCUAGAACCAAAUAAAUGCCUGAAUGCACUGUGCAAUUGACAUUUAUUAAUGUAGUGAAAUAGUAUUGUCUACUCAUCCGCCCUUUUCAGAUCAUCCAAGUAUUCUGUACCACUGCCUGGUGGGAUUAUAUUAAGAAUUUUGACUUAGAAAGUGCAGAACUGGGUCAAUGUUAUGGUCUACCAUUGGCUGCUAAAGAGCUCGCAGGAAUCAUUCCCAAACUUAUUUGUAUUUGUGUUAAAUAUAGAUAGCAGAAGAUUAUUUUGACCAUGACUUUCUGAUCCAGCUCCUAGGAUAUUGCCCAAUGCCUGCAUUCCAUGAUGUUAUGUAAUUGACGUACAUUUAGUUGUCAGGAGGUUGUACACAUCCCACAAAGAGGUUGGUUUGACAAAGCGCAUCACAUCUGAUAGCAUCAGAGAGAAGAAUAUAGCGUACACUUCUCAAAAUUAUGAAACUGUAGUUGUAAUCUGAUUAUAGAGAAUACUUCCUGAGCUUCCUAACCAGUAGAAGGUCAAUUGG